GACGAACGCUGGCGGCGUGCUUAACACAUGCAAGUCGAACGGAAAGGCCCUGCUUUUGUGGGGUGCUCGAGUGGCGAACGGGUGAGUAACACGUGAGUAACCUGCCCUUGACUUUGGGAUAACUUCAGGAAACUGGGGCUAAUACCGGAUAGGAGCUCCUGCUGCAUGGUGGGGGUUGGAAAGUUUCGGCGGUUGGGGAUGGACUCGCGGCUUAUCAGCUUGUUGGUGGGGUAGUGGCUUACCAAGGCUUUGACGGGUAGCCGGCCUGCGAGGGUGACCGGCCACAUUGGGACUGAGGUACGACCCAGAGUCCUACGGGAGGCAGCAGUGGGGAAUAGUGCACGAUGGGCGGAAGCCUGAUGCAGCAACGCCGCGUGCGGGAUGACGGCCUUCGGGUUGUAAACCGCUUUCGCCUGUGACGAAGCGUAAGUGACGGUAAUGGGUAAAGAAGCACCGGCUAACUACGUG
rnacentral:rRNA from 1 species